rnacentral:rRNA from 2 species
GGCUCUGGCACAUGCUAAUACAUGCAGUCGAGCGAACUGAUUAGAAGCUUGCUUCUAUGACGUUAGCGGCGGACGGGUGAGUAACACGUGGGCAACCUGCCUGUAAGACUGGGAUAACUUCGGGAAACCGAAGCUAAUACCGGAUAGGAUCUUCUCCUUCAUGGGAGAUGAUUGAAAGAUGGUUUCGGCUAUCACUUACAGAUGGGCCCGCGGUGCAUUAGCUAGUUGGUGAGGUAACGGCUCACCAAGGCAACGAUGCAUAGCCGACCUGAGAGGGUGAUCGGCCACACUGGGACUGAGACACGGCCCAGACUCCUACGGGAGGCAGCAGUAGGGAAUCUUCCGCAAUGGACGAAAGUCUGACGGAGCAACGCCGCGUGAGUGAUGAAGGCUUUCGGGUCGUAAAACUCUGUUGUUAGGGAAGAACAAGUACAAGAGUAACUGCUCGUACCUUGACGGUACCUAACCAGAAAGCCACGGCUAACUACGUGCCAGCAGCCGCGGUAAUACGUAGGUGGCAAGCGUUAUCCGGAAUUAUUGGGCGUAAAGCGCGCGCAGGCGGUUUCUUAAGUCUGAUGUGAAAGCCCACAGCUCAACCGUG